CGUUUCAUUAAAAAAAUUAAUUUUUUUUUUAUUAUUAGGUAUGGCCUAUGGGUCUUAAUUCUUCUAUUCUUCUCUUCAUCUCUUCCCAGUUCCCUCCCGCCUCUCUAGUCUCUUCUGCAGCUUCUGUUCUUCAUCUCUUCGAGACUUCGACUCUUCCCUCCCGCCACUGCUGCCGCCGCCAGUCGCUGCCAACCUCCAUCUCUUGCCCGCCGCCUGUUUUGUACUUUGGUUUGGUAAGUAAUUUAACUAAUUUUUAAUUUUAAUUUAGCCUAAAUGUCUUUCAAAUUUGGUACUAUUAAUUUUAAUUUAGCCUAACUAUGCAUACUAUUAAUGUUUCCUGUUAAUUAGGUCUCCACUUUGUAUGUAAUUUUGAUGAUGACAAUUGACAAAUAAAUUUAGGGAUAUAAGAAAAAGAAUAAAAAUUGAUUUUAUUUUUAAUUGAUUUUCUGUUAAUUUA
rnacentral:lncRNA from 1 species